GCCCGCAUGGCUCAGAGGUAGAGCGUCGCACUCGUAAUGCGAAGGUCGUCAGUUCAAGUGUCAGUCCUGUCUGUGAUCU